rnacentral:rRNA from 1 species
GAUGAACGCUGGCGGCGUGCCUAAUACAUGCAAGUCGAGCGAACAGAUGAGGAGCUUGCUCCUCUGACGUUAGCGGCGGACGGGUGAGUAACACGUGGAUAACCUACCUAUAAUACUGGGAUAACUUCGGGAAACCGGAGCUAAUACCGGAUAAUAUAUUGAACCGCAUGGUUCAAUAGUGAAAGACGGUUUUGCUGUCACUUAUAGAUGGAUCCGCGCCGCAUUAGCUAGUUGGUAAGGUAACGGCUUACCAAGGCAACGAUGCGUAGCCGACCUGAGAGGAUGAUCGGCCACACUGGAACUGAGACACGGUCCAGACUCCUACGGGAGGCAGCAGUAGGGAAUCUUCCGCAAUGGGCGAAAGCCUGACGGAGCAACGCCGCGUGAGUGAUGAAGGUCUUCGGAUCGUAAAACUCUGUUAUUAGGGAAGAACAAAUGUGUAAGUAACUAUGCACGUCUUGACGGUACCUAAUCAGAAAGCCACGGCUAACUACGUG